GGGAGCAGGUCGGUGCCGUGCGCUCCGGGCUGUGCUCGCACACUCGGCCGGGAGCUGUCCCCGCUCCACCUCCUCCGUGGUGGUGGCACUCCGCCCCUGCUGAGACAUUUGUGCCAGCGACUCAGCUGGGAUGUGCCACGCUCUCCCUGGCCUUGCCUGGCCCUUGCCACAGCCCCUCGGCCAGCCUGGAGCCGCUGGCACGCAGUGGCUGAGCACGGGGCUGGGUCCUGCCGUCCAUCCCUCCGUCCAUCCCUCCGUCCAUCCCUCCGUCCAUCCCUCCGUCCAUCCCUCCGUCCAUCUGUCUGCCCGCAGGAGGUGAUCCAGCAGCAGAAGGAGGGACCCCUGCAGCAGCGACACUGUGCCAGCCGUGGUCCCCGGAGCCAGACACAUGGAGGCUUCCCAAGAAGGGCUGUGGGGCGAAGGUGACGAGGACCCUGUGCCAGCCCAGCCGAGGGGCUCCAGUGGUCCCCCGGGUGCCCAGCCCCAGCCGGACCCCCUGGUGCAGACGUGUCUCCUCCGGGAUCUGGAAAUGAGUCCCCUCGCCCACACACAGACCCUGCGCGACUUCGAGCAGGUGAGACGGUGAGGCGCUGGGACCCGGCAUGGCACC
rnacentral:lncRNA from 1 species